UGGGCGCAAGCCUGAGCAGCACGCCGCGUGGGGGAUGAAGGCCUUCGGGUUGUAAACCCCUUUCAGGAGGGAAGAAAUUGACGGUACCUCCAGAAGAAGCACCGGCCAACUACGUGCCAGCAGCCGCGGUAAU
rnacentral:rRNA from 1 species